UCAGGACUGCAGGCAGACAUUUACCUUGACAUUCGCAUCAUCACUGCUGUUGUCAUUGUGGCUGUGAUUGUCUUUGCCUUGAUAGGAAUGGCUGAGCAGCAGACGGGAACAACUAACCAGCAGCAGCCAGCUAUCACUACAAGUCGGGACGCAAGCUUAACAAGAUGUUACGAUUGUUUGAACAACUUUUGGAAUUUUUGCACUACAGUUAUCGACUUUUGUAAUGGUUGUGGCUUUUAUUGUGAAAUCCUUCAUUUAGUUUCCCAAAUAUUGUGUUGGACUGAUUGCUUGCAUUAAAAUACCCAGUAACAACAGCUUUUUGACUGCUCCUCUGCUGUGGAUUAGGUCUACUGUCACCAGCUUCCA